rnacentral:lncRNA from 1 species
UCUUAGUGAGUUAUUCAAAUUCUGGAGGAUACUCAGAUUCCCGACGGUAAAGCAUUAAGCCACAAUCUUGCUCGAUCUCUUAAAGAGUAUGAAAACAAUUUAAGCUGCAAAGCAUCUUCAAGAACACCCGGUUGUCUAAACGAGUGACAGACUUAUAGAAAAAGUCUUAAAUGUAAUCUUAAAUCUUCAGUGGGUAAUCC